CAUCAUUUAAAAGACUGGCAGUGCUACACACCAAGUGCUCACAGGACUGAGUAACAGCUGACACCGCAGCAGUUAGACACGGUCCACAGAAGCCUCAUCCCUGCCUCCGUGUGCCACCUGCGCUCUAUGGAUGCACUCAGACCUGGUCUCUCUCAAGGUAUACACAUCUCCACAGACGGAGAUCUCACGCCAGACCCCAGGCUGGGACUCCUCAGUGAAGCCGCCUCUCGGAUGCAUCACCAGGACGCCAUUGGUCGUGAGCCCAUCCAUGUGGCCGUCGGGGUUUUUCCACUUCGCUGCCUUUUCCUGGAAAGCAUACCACAGAAAAGAUGAUGUUUAACACAAAAAGGUUCUAGAAUCUCUCCAAAAUACUGGGUAAGGGCAGAGGGGAGGAAAGUGAGCAAUUUUCAUUCUCUAUUUAAAGCUAAUAAUCAGAAGGAUAAAAUAUGCAAUUAGUCUGAGAAAAUGAAGGAAGUGUAAGAAUAGAUGAAUGAUUUAUAACUGGAGACAGAUUAUAUUUAUUUUGGGCUUUUACAAAAGAAAACCUGAUGUCUGGGCCUCUACCUCAGAGAUUCUUUUUCAAACCACAUUCCCCCCACCCCCACAACCCCAGGUGAUUUCA